GUGUUGGAUUGCUUAUUUCCCACAUCAGUAAAUGGCAGUGGCUCCUGAGGAUUAUUGUGGCAGAGCAACAGGAGAGUCGGGACAUGGCACGGAUCAACACAGGUCAUGUGGGCCAUGCCCUCUGAGUAUGUCUCCCUGUCUCUCAACAUGGACAGGAAAGAAUAAAAGAAAGUAGCAGGCACUGAUGCGGGGUUAGCUCCUGAGGGCAAUAACCAUGUCACAUUCAUCUCUGUAAUCUCAAUAAAUAUUUACUGAAGAAUGACUGAAUCAACUCAUUUGCCUCAUAGGAAAUCCCUUAAUAAUGAGCCUUUUUU